CCUACGGGAGGCAGCAGUGGGGAAUAUUGGGCAAUGGGCGAAACCCUGACGCAGCAACGCCGCGUGAAGGAAGAAGGAUUUCGGGUUGUAAACUUCUUUUGGCAGGGAAGAGAAGAAGACGAUCUCAGUAGGAUACGCCAGGUAAAUACACGCCAGCGGCCGCGGUAAUACGGAUGGGUCGAGCGUUAUCCGGAGUUAUUGGGCGUAAAGAGGGCGUGUGCGGGCUGACAAGUCUGAGGUGAAAUCCGGGGGCUCAACCCCCGCACUGCAUUUGAAACUGUGAUGCUCGAGUGUCGGAGAGGCAGGCGGAAUUCCUAGUGUAGCGGUGAAAUGCGUAGAUAGUAGGAGGAACACCAGUGGCGAAGGCGGCCUGCUGGACGACAACUGACGAUGAGGCGCGAAAGCGUGGGGAGCAAACAGGAUUAGAUACCCGGGUAGUC
rnacentral:rRNA from 1 species